UAUCAGACUUGUUACAAGGUUGUUCUAACAAGUCUAAUACAAUCAUGAUAAACAAGAAUGCUACAAGGUUGACAACACAAGGUUGUAACAAUACUGCUAUAUCAUGACUGUAUCAGACUUGUUGGAACAACCUUGUAACAAGCCUGAUA